AAUGGGUCAGCGACUUAUAUUCUGUAGCAAGGUUAACCGAAUAGGGGAGCCGAAGGGAAACCGAGUCUUAACUGGGCGUUAAGUUGCAGGGUAUAGACCCGAAACCCGGUGAUCUAGCCAUGGGCAGGUUGAAGGUUGGGUAACACUAACUGGAGGACCGAACCGACUAAUGUUGAAAAAUUAGCGGAUGACUUGUGGCUGGGGGUGAAAGGCCAAUCAAACCGGGAGAUAGCUGGUUCUCCCCGAAAGCUAUUUAGGUAGCGCCUCGUGAAUUCAUCUCCGGGGGUAGAGCACUGUUUCGGCAAGGGGGUCAUCCCGACUUACCAACCCGAUGCAAACUGCGAAUACCGGAGAAUGUUAUCACGGGAGACACACGGCGGGUGCUAACGUCCGUCGUGAAGAGGGAAACAACCCAGACCGCCAGCUAAGGUCCCAAAGUCAUGGUUAAGUGGGAAACGAUGUGGGAAGGCCCAGACAGCCAGGAUGUUGGCUUAGAAGCAGCCAUCAUUUAAAGAAAGCGUAAUAGCUCACUGGUCGAGUCGGCCUGCGCGGAAGAUGUAACGGGGCUAAACCAUGCACCGAAGCUGCGGCAGCGACACUAUGUGUUGUUGGGUAGGGGAGCGUUCUGUAAGCCUGUGAAGGUGUACUGUGAGGUAUGCUGGAGGUAUCAGAAGUGCGAAUGCUGACAUAAGUAACGAUAAAGCGGGUGAAAAGCCCGCUCGCCGGAAGACCAAGGGUUCCUGUCCAACGUUAAUCGGGGCAGGGUGAGUCGACCCCUAAGGCGAGGCCGAAAGGCGUAGUCGAUGGGAAACAGGUUAAUAUUCCUGUACUUGGUGUUA
rnacentral:rRNA from 1 species